rnacentral:rRNA from 1 species
GACGAACGCUGGCGGCGUGCCUAACACAUGCAAGUCGAGCGAAGCUUUUAAAGUGGAUCCCUUUGGGGUGAAACCUUAACUGUCUUAGCGGCGGACGGGUGAGUAACGCGUGAGGAACCUGCCCUUUAGAGGGGGACAACAGUUGGAACGACUGCUAAUACCGCAUAAAGUAUUGAGAGGACAUCCUCUUAAUACCAAAGGAGCAAUCCGCUAAAGGAUGGCCUCGCGUCUGAUUAGAUAGUUGGUGAGGUAACGGCUCACCAAGUCGACGAUCAGUAGCCGGACUGAGAGGUUGAACGGCCACAUUGGGACUGAGACACGGCCCAA